rfam:TPA: Bos taurus chromosome 1, whole genome shotgun sequence.
UCCCUGGUGGCUCAGAUGGUACAGAAUCCACCUGCAAUGUGGAAGACCUAGGUUCUAUCCCUGGGUUUGGGAA